CCUACGGGAGGCUGCAGUGAGGAAUAUUGGUCAAUGGCCGGAAGGCUGAACCAGCCAUGCCGCGUGAAGGUCAGUGCCCUAUGGGCGUUAAACCUCUUUUGUGCGGGAGCAAUAAUGGUCACGUGUGGCCAGACGAGAGUACCGUACGAAUAAGCAUCGGCUAACUCCGUGCCAGCAGCCGCGGUUAUUCGGGGGAAGCAAGCGUUAUCCGGAUUUAUUGGGUUUUAAGGGUGCGGAGGGUGGGCGGUAAGUCAGCGGUGAAAUGCCCCCGCUCAACGGGGUGAAGUGCCAUUGAUACUGGCUGGCUGGAAUGCGGAUGCCGUAGGAGGAAUGUGUGGUGUAGCGGUGAAAUGCAUAGAGAUCACACAGAACACCGAUUGCGAAGGCAGCUCACGAAGCCACGAUUGACGCUGAUGCACGAAAGCGUGGGUAUCAAACAGGAUUAGAUACCCGAGUAGUC
rnacentral:rRNA from 1 species